ensembl:lncRNA
GCCUGUUCCCAGCUGUGUCCCCACCACGGUGGCCUCUGAGGUCUGAGAGCCCGAGGAGAGGCGCAAAUGCCACACGAGGGGAUGUCCUGGGUGCACCCCUUCCUUCCGGCCCUCUCCCCUGCGAGGUCCUACAUCCGGGUGCUGAGCGCCUCCUGGGGCAGGGGGCCGCCCUUCCUCCUGCAGGGCCCUGCAGCACCGACAGGACCCUGCUGCGGGGUCCCUGCUGGGCUAGGCGAGCCUGAGCGCUUCCGCAGCCUCAUCUGGAGAGAACGAGUAAAAAUAAUUGGUAGCUGUCAUCCCAGUACUCAGGAGGCCAAGGCAGGAGGAUGGAUGCAAAUUUAAGGCCAGUGCUAUGUAGCAGGUUCAAGGCCAGCCUGAACGACACAGCGAGACCCUGUUUCAAAACAAAAGCAAAAACAGAAACAGAUUUGGGACUGGCAGUUCCCAAGCCCUGGCCCUUCCUGUAGGAGGGGCUGGAGGAGGCUGGGAGGCUGGCGCAGGUGACCUGCUCCCCUGGGUCCUGCCUGUUCCUGCAGCAGAAGCGGUUCACAGGAUUCCCACACCGGAAGAGCCAACUUCAUCACCCCUACCUAGAAAGUUUGGUGGCUGCCACAUCCCAAGGGAGAAGGCCAGGGAGGAGAAAGUGACAGUGGCAGCCCCUCUAGCACACAGCUCCCAUGCCUAUGACCCUGCGGUCUGCACCUCUUCUGGCCUGACUUGCCGCCCCCCCACCCCCACCCCAUGACCCCAGGAGGAGGCCUGGGGCCUGGCCCAGUGUGAGCAGGGCUGGGCCAGCUGGGCAGACAGAGGAGAGGAACUCAGGUUGGAGACACCAGGCCUGGAGAGACCUUCUGUUGCCCACUCGUGUCUCCCCACUGAUUAAACCUCUUCUCGGAGUGUUCAGGGGAACCCAAGAAAGGGAAGGAAAGACAAGGGGCCCAGCCCUGGCUGAGGACCGCCAUGCGGCAGGACAGCACGGGGACCCUGCAGGUCCGUGUGCCCUCAGGGCCCGCUUGGCCGCUCCUGUGGGCUCUCGGGUGGGAGCAGGCAGCCGCAGGCAGGAUCGAGACAGCCCCUGCUGUCCUUCAUGUUCGUUUUGUGUUCAGGGAAACCCCAUGGCAUUCUGGUUCCUGUUUUGAUGGUUUUUAGAGCUUUUCUGAGGCACAGCUGAUACAGUCGCACUGCUUUUCAGUGUGGACCCUGGUGACUCAGUUCCCACACUCACAGGACUGAACUUAUGGAUCACCUCCAAGAAUUUCCCCGCAUAUGUGCGCGCGCAUGUGUGUGUGUACCCAUGCGUGUUUCCGUGUAAGAACACAACAGAUUUUAAACCGUUUAAAGGGGCACAGCCCUGUUGUCACCAACAGGCCCCAUGUUGUGCUGCUGCAGAUUUCUCCACCUCCCCAACUCCCGGCAGCCCCUGUCCUCGCCCCUGCCUCUGUGUGACCGACUCUUGGAUCCCCGUACAAGUGGCAUCGUGCGGUAAUUUAAUUGUCCUCUGCAUCUGGCUCAUGUCACUGAGCGGAAGGACCUCUAGGUUUUCCACUUUGUUGCGGUUGGCAGGAUCCCUUCUUUUUUAGGGAACGAUGCCCCCUUGUAUGUAUGCACCGCGCUUUCUUUAUCCAUUCAUCUGCUGCUGGACACGUGGGUCACGUCCAUAUCUUGCUUAUUGUGAAUAUGGAAAAAUACAGUUUCAGUACACGAAGACACACUGCAAUGUACUCUGUUGACAGAAGGGAUAGCUGUGGCCGGGGAUUUAGCUCAGUGGUUUCGCCGCCUGCUGCGCAAGCACAAGGACCCAAGUCCUGCCCGAGGACCCCUCUUCCACCGCCCCAGCUUCACGGGGGUCCUGUCCCCUCCCCGACACCGGGUUCCGGUUCAUACCGGUUCAUACCGGUUCAUACCACUUCACAGCAGAUUCUGCUCUGCUGGGGACUGGACACGACCUGCUUUCCUGGCUCUCUCUGCACCACCUCGAACCUCGUUGGUGGCCAGCACCAGCAGUUGUCCUGUGACUCUGUACCACCCUCGCUCUGAGCAGGGCCCUGGGCAUGGUCCGAGGAAGCGCCCUGCGGGUCUCGGGUCUUGGGAGCAAGCGCCUUCCUCACCUGCCCAUGAGUCUGAGGCGACGCCGCAGUGCAGCAGCUGGCGGCCUUCACUGUCGCCUCCACCUGGGCACAAGGUGCCAGCGCCAGGCGAGAAGAGGCUGAGCUGUGACCGGCACCAGGUGCCCUCUGAGCUCUCGUCCUCCUGUGUCCCCGCUGCUUUCGCCCAAGGCCACCCGCCCGCCCUCUUGGGAUGAGUCCUUUCUGAGAAGACGCCUCAGUCCCUGUCCCGUGGGCCCGAGGUCCCGGCCCACAGGACGCGUCUGUAUCCAAAUCAAGGCGCACAGUGCGUCUUACCAGGAGCCUUCAGGCCACACCUGACUGACCUCUCCAGUUUCGGUUUAUUUGGUGAAGUUAUUUGGUUAAAAGAAAACAGAAAACAAGAAAGCAAAUAAAUGGGAAAAAAUGCUCACUG